AAUGAACGCUGGCGGCACGCCUAACACAUGCAAGUCGAACGAGAUCUUCGGGUCUAGUGGCGCACGGGUGCGUAACGCGUGGGAAUCUGCCCUUUGGUUCGGAAUAACAGUUGGAAACAACUGCUAAUACCGGAUGAUGACGAAAGUCCAAAGAAUUAUCGCCAGAGGAUGAGCCCGCGUAGGAUUAGCUAGUUGGUGUGGUAAAGGCGCACCAAGGCGACGAUCCUUAGCUGGUCUGAGAGGAUGAUCAGCCACACUGGGACUGAGACACGGCCCAGACUCCUACGGGAGGCGGCAGUGGGGAAUAUUGGACAAUGGGCGAAAGCCUGAUCUAGCAAUGCCGCGUGAGUGAUGAAGGCCUUAGGGUUGUAAAGCUCUUUUACCCGGGAUGAUAAUGACAGUACCGGGAGAAUAAGCUCCGGCUAACUCCGUGCCAGCCGCCGCCGUAA
rnacentral:rRNA from 1 species